GGUACAGAGUCAAUGUGGAGGCUAUAUACAGGGUAUUACGGUACAGAGUCAAUGUGGAGGCUAUAUACAGGGUAUUACGGUACAGAGUCAAUGUGGAGGCUAUAUACAGGGUAUUACGGUACAGAGUCAAUGUGGAGGCUAUAUACAGGGUACCGGUACAGAGUCAAUGUGGAGGCUAUAUACAGGGGGUACCGGUACAGAGUCAAUGUGGAGGCUAUAUAUAGGGGGUACAGGUACAGAGUCAAUGUUGAGGCUAUAUACAGGGGGGUACCGGUACAGAGUCAAUGUGGAGACUAUAUACAGGGUGUUACAGUACAGAGUCA
rnacentral:lncRNA from 1 species